rnacentral:lncRNA from 1 species
GCCCCACCCCCUCCGAGGCCGAAAUCUGCGGAAGUUAAACAGCUCGAGGAUGGAGUCGGCGGCGUUAAGUUCCUAAUACGCGCGUUAUUUCCCAAACUCAGAAGGAUGGAAGAGGGCGCUGUGUGGGCAGGGGGCGUCGGGUCCCUCCGGAGCACAGUUAGGUGGGGGGCUGUCCCAUCCACUUGCCCAGGUGCAGUGGCCGCUAAGAAUCCAGCCAAGGCACCAACGCUGCGCCCCACACGCGGGAUGAUUGGGAUGCACAGGGGUGCAGAGUAGAGGGUCUCCGGGCGGUUCUCCACCGACUCCCUAGUGCGUCUCACCACGCGCCAGCCUUGGUGACCGCACUACACGUAUGAACUCCUUUGACCCUCGCAACAGCCGUCGAGAAAGGCACUCCCCCCACCCCCCACCGCGAUUUCCACUUCGCAGACCUGGAAACCGCAUCAGAAAGAGGUGAGGUGACUGCUCCGCAUCCGCAGACCCAGGACGCGGAGCUCUGGCCUCUGGAUGGCGGCGACUGCGCUUCCUUCUCCCUCCAGUUUCAGGCUGGGGGACACUCACCCCAGGGACGCGGGGGCGGGUGUGUGUGUUGGGGGGGGUGCUGUAGGAGGGCCCGAGCAUCCUUAAGGGGCGGCUGCUGGAAGGAGAGCCAAAGAUCCAAAGAGGAGGGAGGAAUCCAAGGAUUCGGUGCCUCUAACCUACCUGGGGAACACUCUUCCUCAGAAACAAAGAGUAGUAUUCAAUAAUCAAAUUAAGUCGGCUACAGCAAAUGGAACUUUCUGAGCCAGGGAUUGAAUCCGAGCCACAGCUUUGGCAACCCUGGAUCGUCUAACCCACUGCACUGGGCCAGGGAUCAAACCCACUCCUCCACAGCAACCCAAGCCACUGCAUUUGGAUCCUUAACCCACUGUGUCAUGGCAGGAACACAAGAAGGUAUAUUUUCAUCACUGGAAAAAUAAAAAAAAUAAUGUUACAAAAACGUAGACCCUCUCCAUCCUCCACCGCCAGCAGCAGCAAAAACAAAAUCACACACAGAAAAACUAAGAACAUGGUUUGAGGGAGAAGUGAGUUGGAAGCUGAGUUCAAGAUUGUCCUAACCCAGGACAAUUUGGCUUAAAACAGAAAAGGGAAAUGGCCAUAAACAUCUCUCAGGAAGGGUGGGGCCUCUGGUGGAAAGACAACAUCAAGGCACAGGCUAGGAUUUUCACAGGAUUCAUGCUAGCAAAAUGUUAUACAAGAAAGGUAAUUUUUGCAUCCUUGCCCAGACUGCAUUGAGAAAGACUAGUCAGAAAGUUACUGGUAUGGUUUUAAAGUGGUUAAUGCCUUGUUAUUAGGUGAGAACAGGGUGAAAGGGUGAUUCUCAGAACAUCUCAGUGGUCAAAUUCAGUAGGGAAUGGAGAGACAACCUCGCUGGCAUUUAGAGGUACCAAGACUCUACAUGGAAAAGAACAGUCUUUUCCGAUGCCCAAGAAAUUGGCUGAGAGAUGAUUUUGAUGGAAAAGUCCUGAAUGUGAUGAUAUACAUGUCCUAUUAGCAUCAUUUAGAAUCAGGAUUCCAACGUUUGAAUACCAACUACCCUAUUUACUCUCUGACUUUUGUAAAAAUUUUAACCUCGUUGAGGGAGUUCCCGUCGUGGCACAGCAGAAAUGAAUCCAACUAGGAACCAUGAGGUUGUGGGUCCAAUCCCUGGCCUCCCUCAGUGGGUUAAGGAUCUGGCACUGCCGUGAGCGUGAGCUGUGGUGUAGGUUGCAGCCGCAGCUCAGAACCCACAUUGCUGUGGCUGUGGCAUGGGCCGGCGGGGCUGCAGCUCUGAUUAGACCCCUAGCUUGGGAACCUCCCUAUACUGUGGGUGCGGCCCUAAAAAGGACCAAAAAAAAGAAAAAAGAAAAAAAAAAUUUAACCUCUUUGAGCUUUGGUUUCCUUUAUUUUAAAAAUGUAAAUAUCAAUAGCUACUUCACAGAACUGUUUUAAGGAUUAAAUAAACUUACACAAAAACACUUAAUGCCUGGUACAUACAUCUCAAAAAUGUUUCAAAACAUACCAUAUUACCUACCAUUGGGGGGGAGCUGGGGGAAGGGUCCACAGGACCUUCCUGUACAUUUUUCACAACUUCCUGUGAAUCUGUAAUUAUUUCAAAAUAAAAUGCUUAAAAAA